rnacentral:rRNA from 1 species
UACGGGGGGGGGCAAGCGUUGUUCGGAAUUACUGGGCGUAAAGGGCUCGUAGGCGGCCAACUAAGUCAAACGUGAAAUCCCUCGGCUUAACCGGGGGAACUGCGUCUGAUACUGGAUGGCUUGAGUUUGGGAGAGGGAUGCGGAAUUCCAGGUGUAGCGGAUGAAAUGCGUAGAUAUCUGGAGGAACACCGGUGGCGAAGGCGGCAUCCUGGACCAACACUGACGCUGAGGAGCGAAAGCCAGGGGAGCAAACGGG